rnacentral:tRNA from 1 species
AGCUCGGUAGCUCAACUGGUAGAGCGCCCGUCUCCAAAGCGGGUCGUUGCGGGUUCGAUUCCUGUCCGGGUUGCAA